GUCUGGAAAGGCGCGCGAUACAGGGUGACAGCCCCGUACACAAAAAUGCACAUACUGUGAGCUCGAUGAGUAGGGCGGGACACGUGGUAUCCUGUCUGAAUAUGGGGGGACCAUCCUCCAAGGCUAAAUACUCCUGACUGACCGAUAGUGAACCAGUACCGUGAGGGAAAGGCGAAAAGAACCCCGGCGAGGGGAGUGAAAAAGAACCUGAAACCGUGUACGUACAAGCAGUGGGAGCCUCUUUAUGGGGUGACUGCGUACCUUUUGUAUAAUGGGUCAGCGACUUAUAUUCUGUAGCAAGGUUAACCGAAUAGGGGAGCCGAAGGGAAACCGAGUCUUAACUGGGCGUUAAGUUGCAGGGUAUAGACCCGAAACCCGGUGAUCUAGCCAUGGGCAGGUUGAAGGUUGGGUAACACUAACUGGAGGACCGAACCGACUAAUGUUGAAAAAUUAGCGGAUGACUUGUGGCUGGGGGUGAAAGGCCAAUCAAACCGGGAGAUAGCUGGUUCUCCCCGAAAGCUAUUUAGGUAGCGCCUCGUGAAUUCAUCUCCGGGGGUAGAGCACUGUUUCGGCAAGGGGGUCAUCCCGACUUACCAACCCGAUGCAAACUGCGAAUACCGGAGAAUGUUAUCACGGGAGACACACGGCGGGUGCUAACGUCCGUCGUGAAGAGGGAAACAACCCAGACCGCCAGCUAAGGUCCCAAAGUCAUGGUUAAGUGGGAAACGAUGUGG
rnacentral:rRNA from 1 species